rnacentral:lncRNA from 1 species
GAGAUCAAGCAUGACACAGGAGCUGGACCUGACUGGAUGUGGGGCAAUGCAGAGAGAGAGCAGGGUCAAAUGGUGCUGGGUCUCUAGCCAGGAUAGUGAUGAGCGGCUGACAAGCUUAGGGACGAGAUGUUUCCUUGGGUGUCCGUGGGAUCUCAAGUAGAGAGGCACAGCAGGCUGUUAAGUGGAUGAGUUAGGAUAGCGCCAUAAAAGGUUCCCUCUCCCCCAUCUCAGUGGCUUAAUACAACAGAAGUUUGUUUAUUGCUCAUGUAAAGUCCAAAGUCACGCACCUGACCAGGAAGUGGGGGAGGAUGGCUCCUGUGCAGUCCUGGUUGAGGGACCAAGCUCCUUCCUUCUUGCGGCUCUGUCACUGGGUCUGGGACCUCAGAUCCUCUGCCAGGUCUUCUGUACCUGGAUGGUGGAUGGGGGAAGAGAGAGGGGAGAAGAUAUUCCUGCUUCUUUUUUAAAAAAUGAUUUUAUUUUGAAGCAGUUUUAAACUUACAGAAAAGUAGCAAGAAUCCCCACGCACCCUUCCCCCAGACACCCCAUACCAUUUGUGCCAUAUGCCCCAGUGAUGUUCUCUGUAACAAAGAGACCUCAUUUGGGAUCAUGAGUUCUACCCACUUGCCAUGGCUGUCUCCCCUUUGACUUGGAGCAGCUCCUAAGGCUCUCCUUGAGUUUGAUGCCCUUGACCUUCCUGCAGAAAACAGGGCAGUCAUUUUGCAGAAUGUGCCUUAGCUUGGGUUUGUCCACACUUCCUCAUGAUUAGAUUUGGGAUACACAUCUUUGGGAUAUAACAUUAGUGAUGUUGUCUUAUCAUCAUGUUCUACUGGGUGGUGCAUGAUCUUUAUUUGUCAAAUUAUAGAUGAUAACCUUGAUCAUUUGAGUAAGACGGUGCCUGCUAGGUUUCUCCACUGUAAGGUUCCUUUUUUUCUUUGUAAUUAAUAAGUAUUUGUGUGGCAGUAUUUGGAGACUAUGUAAAUAUCCCUAUCCCACUUUCAUCUACUAUGCUUAGCACCCACUGAUGUCCCUUGGCUGAAUAACUUUAAUGUUUGCCCAAUGGAAAUUUUUUAUUUUCAUUUUUCCUCCUACAUUUAUUCGCUGGCUUUCUAUUGUAAGUAAAAGCUUUCCCUCCUCUCUGUUUAAUUAUAUCUGUGUGGAAUCAUG